rnacentral:tRNA from 2 species
GGCCCGUUAGCUCAACUGGUAGAGCAGCGGACUCUUAAUCCGCGGGUUCCAGGUUCGAGUCCUGGACGGGUCA